rnacentral:rRNA from 1 species
UACGUAGGGUGCGAGCGUUAAUCGGAAUUACUGGGCGUAAAGUGUGCGCAGGUGGCCGCGCAAGUCGAGUGUGAAAUCCCCGAGCUUAACUUGGGAAUUGCGCUCGAAACUACGUGGCUCGAGUGUGGCAGAGGAAGGUGGAAUUCCACGUGUAGCGGUGAAAUGCGUAGAUAUCUGGAGGAACACCGGUGGCGAAGGCGCCCACCUGGCCUGCUACUGACGCUGAAGCCUCGAAAGCUAGGGGAGCAAACGGG